rnacentral:snoRNA from 1 species
GACCUCUCAGGGCUGUACCUGGAGAGUUUCCAGUGCUCUACCAGUCUCGACUAUGGGAGGGAGAGUCAAGCAGAGGCCUGUCCAUUCCAUUCCUAGCUUGGGCAGCGGCUAGCGAGUUGAAGGCCAUCUGCUACAAGC